UUUCUUAUUAUUAAUAUUAGCUUAAUCAGCAAUCAAUCACAAGUCUUAUUUUGAUUUUGAGGCUCCCGUUUUUACAUUUCUCUCUCUGGUAAUAAAUGUGAAUUUUUCAAUCUACAGAAUUUAGGCGUAUUUUGGUCUUAUUUCUUACAAGAAAAAAAAGUUUACAAUAACAAUUAGUUGGAAUUUAUUAACGAUUCUAUACAUAAAUGAAAUGCCAAGCAUGGAAAAAAAUGUGUAUGAAUUUGAAAUUUCGCUAAAAGGAAUAGAACCGAAAAUAUGGCGAAAAAUCCAAGUUCCAGAAGAUUAUACAUUUUUCUAUUUUAGUCAAGUGAUUAAUAACGCAAUUGGUUGGAGUGGUCAUCCGAUUCACCUUCAUCGAUUUGAAAUGAAUAAUCCUGAAACUGAUUCGCCGGAAAUAAUUGGCGAAGAUCCAGCUGCAACAGAUUCCUCUUCGACUCUCGACGAGAGAGACACAGCAAUUAAGGACUUAUUUGUUGACAGCGAUAGUAGAGCAAUAUUUAUAUACGAUUUAGGUUGUCAUUGGGAACACGAUGUGAAAUUAACGAGAAUAUUACCAGAGAUUCCUGGGAAAACAUAUCCCGUUUGCAUUGGCGGUGAACGCGCUUGUCCAUCGGAGCAUUGCGAUGGGUUCGAGGAGUAUCAGGAAUUGUUGGAUAAAAAAGCAAAACCAAAAGAUGAACUCACCGAGGAAGAGGAGAGGCAACUUGAUGUUUGUUACAUGGGCGAUGAUUUUGAUCCCGAAUUUUUUGACCCCGAUGAUGUUGAUUUAAUUGCUGUUCAUGAUUGGGAUGAUUGGGAUUAAGAGCUAGAGAGGAUUCAAAAAACUUUAAAGUAAUUGUUUUUCAACCGUGUCUUCCAUUUCGAAAUGCUAAAAAAGAAGAUUUGCGGUAUGUCUUCUCUACCUUCAGCGACGGAUCAGACCAAAACUUUCAUUAUAAAUGAAAUUUUCAGAAUGCGGACAAAAAUAUAUACCAUAUACAUAUAUACGAAUUUCAAGUUUCAUUGAAGGGAAUAGAACCGAAAAUAUGGCGAAAAUUAAAUUAAAUUAAAUUAAAUUUGGUGAUUAUUAGCGUCAUAUGGGCUGGUCAAAUAGUGCACUACUUUUCAUUUUCAUAAUUUUGAAAUGGAAAAUCCUGAGAAUGAUAGUGAGGUAUUAAUUUAUGAAGAAUUAACCUAGUGUGGACGAUUUCUGUGACAAUCUCGACGAGAAAAAAACAAAAAUUAAGGAUUUUUUGGAUUUUUUUAAUAUCAGUAACAGUUAACCCGCUGUUCCUGGGGAAUUGUAUCCUUUGUGUCCACCUGAAGAAUGUAAAGGGAUGGAAAUUUAUCAGAAAAUGCUGGAGAGGAAAGCAAAGCCAGAAGAAGAGCUGACCGAGGAAGAAGACAUGGGCUACGAUUUU